rnacentral:rRNA from 1 species
GAGGUUCCAAGCGUUGUUCGGAAUUACUGGGCGUAAAGGGAGCGCAGGCGGUCUGGUCAGUCUGAAGUGGAAGCCCGGGGCUCAACCCCGGAAGGGCUUCAGAUACUGCCAAACUAGAGUACGUGAGAGGUAAGCGGAAUUCAAGGUGUAGCGGUGAAAUGCGUAGAUAUCUUGAGGAACAUCGGUGGCGAAAGCGGCUUACUGGCACGAAACUGACGCUGAGGCUCGAGAGCGUGGGGAGCGAACGGGAUUAGAUACCCCGGUAGUCCACGCCGUAAACGUUGUGCACUAGGUGUGGGAGGUGUCGACCCCUCCCGUGCCGCAGCUAACGCAUUAAGUGCACCGCCUGGGGAGUACGCGCGCAAGCGUGAAACUCAAAGGAAUUGACGGGGGCCCGCACAAGCGGUGGAGCAUGUGGUUUAAUUCGAGGCAACGCGAAGAACCUUACCCAGGCUUGACAUCCCGGGACCACCAUGGAAACAUGGCUUUCCCUUCGGGGACCCGGUGACAGGUGUUGCAUGGCUGUCGUCAGCUCGUGUCGUGAGAUGUUGGGUUAAGUCCCGCAACGAGCGCAACCCCCGUCCUUAGUUACCAGCGGUUCGGCCGGGGACUCUAAGGAGACUGCCGGUAAUAAACCGGAGGAAGGUGGGGAUGAGGUCAAGUCAUCACGGCCCUUACGCCUGGGGCUACACACGUGCUACAAUGGCCGGUACAAUGGGUCGCGAUACCGCGAGGUGGAGCUAAUCCCAAAAAGCCGGUCUCAGUUCGGAUCGGAGUCUGCAACUCGACUCCGUGAAGCCGGAAUCGCUAGUAAUCGCGUAUCAGCUACGACGCGGUGAGUACGUUCCCGGGCCUUGUACACACCGCCCGCCACAUGACCCGAGUCGGGUGCACCCGAAGUCACUGGCCCAACCCUUUCGAGGGAGGGAGGGCCCGAAG